rnacentral:rRNA from 1 species
UGGGCGCCUCCGGAAGCUCUUCAGCCCCUAAACCCCCCACACACAAAAGGUUGACCUCGGAUCAGGUAGGAAUACCCGCUGAACUUAAGCAUAUCAAUAAGCGGAGG